CAGUAGCCGCGGUAAUACGUAGGUGGCAAGCGUUGCCCGGAAUUAUUGGGCGUAAAGGGCUCGCAGGCGGUUUCUUAAGUCUGAUGUGAAAGCCCCCGGCUCAACCGGGGAGGGUCAUUGGAAACUGGGAAACUUGAGUGCAGAAGAGGAGAGUGGAAUUCCACGUGUAGCGGUGAAAUGCGUAGAGAUGUGGAGGAACACCAGUGGCGAAGGCGACUCUCUGGUCUGUAACUGACGCUGAGGCGCGAAAGCGUGGGGAGCAAACAGGAUUAGAUACCCCGGUAGUCCCUGUCUCUUAUAC
rnacentral:rRNA from 1 species